rnacentral:rRNA from 1 species
AGGGAAUCUUCCGCAAUGGACGCAAGUCUGACGGAGCAACGCCGCGUGAACGAUGAAGGCCUUCGGGUCGUAAAGUUCUGUUGUUAGGGAAGAACAAGUACCAUUCGAAUAGGGUGGUACCUUGACGGUACCUAACCAGAAAGCCACGGCUAACUACGUGCCAGCAGCCGCGGUAAUACGUAGGUGGCAAGCGUUGUCCGGAAUUAUUGGGCGUAAAGCGCGCGCAGGCGGUCUUUUAAGUCUGAUGUGAAAGCCCCCGGCUCAACCGGGGAGGGUCAUUGGAAACUGGGAGACUUGAGUGCAGAAGAGGAGAGUGGAAUUCCAUGUGUAGCGGUGAAAUGCGUAGAGAUAUGGAGGAACACCAGUGGCGAAGGCGACUCUCUGGUCUGUAACUGACGCUGAGGCGCGAAAGCGUGGGGAGCAAAC